AGUGAACGCUGGCGGUAGGCCUAACACAUGCAAGUCGAACGGCAGCACAGUAAGAGCUUGCUCUUACGGGUGGCGAGUGGCGGACGGGUGAGGAAUACAUCGGAAUCUACUUUUUCGUGGGGGAUAACGUAGGGAAACUUACGCUAAUACCGCAUACGACCUACGGGUGAAAGCAGGGGAUCUUCGGACCUUGCGCGAUUGAAUGAGCCGAUGUCGGAUUAGCUAGUUGGGGGGGUAAAGGCCCACCAAGGCGACGAUCCGUAGCUGGUCUGAGAGGAUGAUAAGCCCACUGGGACGUGAGCACCGGCCCAGGUCCCUCAGGGAGGCAGAAGUGGGGAAUUUGGGCAAUAGGGGGAAAGCUUGACCAAGCAUACCCGGGUGGGUGAAGAAGGCCUCCGGGUUGUAAAGCCCUUUUGUUGGGAAAAAAAAGCAGAAGGUUAAUCCCCGGCUGUCUUGCCGGUACCAAAAAAAUAAGACCCGCCGACUUCGGU
rnacentral:rRNA from 1 species